UUUAAGUACACGCUGUUUUGAAUGAUUUAGCGAAGAGGGAAAAACAGAUGAUGCAGAGGAGAGGAGAGAGCAUUGCCGGAGGGAGGGGAUGGGAUCUCGUGGCCAGUGAAGGGGUUCUCCUUAGAUAGGAGCCAGACGGUUUAUCCCCACACUGCAGGAGGAAAAGCAGAGUGUGUGGGUAAAUUCUCACAGCCCAUCCCUGAGUGCUUGAAUUGCAAGAUGUCAAUCAGGCUUGGAGCCCGUGGCGUCCACCACACCCCUUCACUUUCCAGCGAGACCAGAGAGCAGUGACCUCCCCAAGGACACACCGCUGAUGAGAAGCAGAAGUGCGGUGAGAAUCCAAGGCUACUCCUGCCCCGCCUGGCACCCGAGGGCUCGCCCCUUGGGGAGAAUCCCGAGCCUGCUUGGUUGUCCGCCACCUGUGCUGACAAACAGGAAAAAGGGGCCCUCAUGGAAAUUCGGGCCUAGGAUAGAGCCUGAAGCCAACGCUCUGUUUGUUUGGGGAAUCCUGAAGCUGGUACGGUUUGUGACCCUCUCUGCCCCCCUUUCCUGCAGAAUAGUGUUCGACAAGACGCCCGGGCCCUGGUUCUGACCACCAGUCGGGGUGGAGGGUGGGCCAGGGGGAUGAGGAGCUGGGAAUGUCCCCAUGUGAUAAUCCAGGAAUGCGUCUCUGAAAAAAUAAUCGUGAUGUCUUCAUUUCUGUCGCCCUUUGCAGCUGUUUCAAAACACUUGCAGUAUCAGUGAUUUCAAGGAAUCCUCACCUCCUUCUCGAGAGGUAGGUAGGUGGGGCCGGUCUUACUAUCACUGUGGGACAGCUGGAGAGACACAGGGUCCGGGAGGCCAUGUGACCCGGCCCAGGUCACGGGGCUAAUAAGCGGCUGAGCUGGAACUCAAGGCUAGGUCUCCUGACAGUGAGUCGGUGAGUGGGGUCGGACGCCCAGGUGACCGGGAACCUCCACAGCUGCUCAGCCCCCAGAGGAGGGUGUGGCCUUCCCCGCCACAGGACAGCCGGGCUUUGGGUCCCGUCCUUUGGGGCCCAGCUGCCUGGCCUUGGACAGCUUAAGGCUCUCUGUGCCUCUUUCCUCAUCUGGAAAAUGAGCAAAAUCAUAGUACCCGAGUCCCCACAAGGUAUUUUGAGGAGUAAAUGAAGUAUUAUGGAGAAAGCAAAACACUACAUCUGGCCAGAGAAUUCCAUAAAUGUUGCGUCUCCCCCCCCCCAAGUCUUUCCUUAAGGCACAACCCAAAAGACUUUAAGAAUCCUGCUUAAUAAUGAAUCAUGGAACAUUACAUUAAAAAAAAAAAAAAGAUACUACUUGAAAAAAAGAAAAGAAUCCUGCUUAAGCCUCCCUGCUUCCCUGCCUCCCCCCUCCCGCCCUUCCCUCUCUUCGAUAAUGCUACCUCCUGCGACUGCUUUUUUUACUUUUCCUAGCCACACCUCUUGAGAGCUUCCCAACACACCUCUUGAGAUCCUCCUGACAACCCCAUAAGGUAAUAGAACCCGGAAGUCUUCGAUCUCUUCUUACAGAUGAAUGGAAACCAAGGCAAGAGAGGGGACCGCCCUAAGGCAAGACCUCUGUUGGCCACCAAGCUAG
ensembl:lncRNA